AUGUUGGAAAGUGUGCAGAGGAUGGAGAAAGGUCUGGAGGAAUGGCUGAGGGUGUUUCAGGACACUCAGGGAUCUUCAGCUCUGAUCUCUGUGACCGAGACAGGAUCCUGGGAAUGGCUGGAGCUGUGCCAGGGGAGGUUUAGGAUGGAUUUUAGGGAAAGGUUUUCCUCCACAGAGUCCCCAGAAAAUGGGAUGAAGCUGUGCCAGGGGAGGUUUAGGAUGGAUUUUAGGGAAAGGUUUUCCUCCACAGUGCCCAGGCUUCUCAGGAAAUGGGAUGAAACUGCCAGGGAAGGUUUAGGAUGGAUUUUAGGGAAAGGUUUUCCUCCACAGUGCCCAGGCUUCUCAGGAAAUGGGAUGAAACUGCCAGGGAAGGUUUUGGAUGGAUUUUAGGGAAAGGUUCUUCCUCCAGAGAGCCCCCAGGGAAUGAGAUGAAACUGUUCCAGGGAACGUUUAGGAUGGAUUUUAGGGAAAGGUUCUUCCUCCAGAGAGUCCACAGGAAAUGGGGUGAAGCUCUGCCAGGGGAGGUUUAGGAUGGAUUUUAGGGAAAGGUUCUUCCUCCAGAGAGUCCACAGGAAAUGGGAUGAAGCUGUUCCAGGGGAGGUUUAGGAUGGAUUUUAGAGCCCCCAGAGGGUGCUGGGCACACCCAGGCUCCCCAGGGAAUGGG
rnacentral:lncRNA from 1 species